GAAAUGCGAUACUUGGUGUGAAUUGCAGAAUCCUUGAACACAGAACAUUCGAAUGCACAUUGCGCCAUUGGAGUAACAUCCUUUGGCACGCCUGGUUCAGGGUCGUAAUUCAACAGCGCACGGCGAGUGCGUGCAAAGCUGCGCGAUCAGUGUGUGCGCCCAUACCGCUGUUCGUGCAUUGUGUGUGUGAGGCGCCCGUGUGGUGUCGGACUGUGCUGGCAUGGAACUUGUGAGUGUUACGUCCAUGUCUUACCCGCCAGUAACUUGAGCACGGUUCGCGCACUCGCGUGGUAGCCAGACCACGCGAUCGGUCUGACCAACCAACCAACCAAUUUCGACCUGAACUCAGACGUGAACACCCGCUGAACUUAA
rnacentral:misc_RNA from 1 species